AGAGUUUGAUCCUGGCUCAGGAUGAACGCUGGCGGCGUGCCUGAUACAUGCAAGUCGAACGGCUCGGUAGGGAGUAGAGGUCUUGGAAGGGGUGGGUGGUGAGAAAUCACAGGGAGCCUUAGAAGGGGCUAAAGCUUUUGCGCUGAGCAGUGGCGGAUGGGUGAGUAACACGUGGGUCAUCUACCUUGUAGUGGGGAAUAACCGCUCGAAAGGGCAGCUAAUUCCGCAUAAGCUCCGCGAGGAGGAAAGGCCCGAAAGGGUUGCUGCGAGAUGAGCCUGCGGCCGAUUAGCUAGUUGGUAGGGUAAAGGCCUACCAAGGCGAAGAUCGGUAGCUGGUCUGAGAGGACGAUCAGCCACACUGGAACUGACACACGGUCCAGACUCCUACGGGAGGCAGCAGUAGGGAAUAUUGCACAAUGGGGGAAACCCUGAUGCAGCAACGCCGCGUGAGCGAAGAAGGCCUUCGGGUUGUAAAGCUCUUUUCUAAGGGAAGAGGCAGGACGGUACCUUGSGAAUAAGUCUCGGCUAACUACGUGCCAGCCGCCGCGGUAAUACA
rnacentral:rRNA from 1 species